rnacentral:rRNA from 1 species
GAUGAACGCUGGCGGCGUGCCUAAUACAUGCAAGUCGAACGCUGAAGGAAGGAGCUUGCUCUUUCCGGAUGAGUUGCGAACGGGUGAGUAACGCGUAGGUAACCUGCCUGGUAGCGGGGGAUAACUAUUGGAAACGAUAGCUAAUACCGCAUAACAGUAGAUGUUGCAUGAUAUCUACUUAAAAGGUGCAAUUGCACCACUACCAGAUGGACCUGCGUUGUAUUAGCUAGUUGGUGAGGUAACGGCUCACCAAGGCGACGAUACAUAGCCGACCUGAGAGGGUGAUCGGCCACACUGGGACUGAGACACGGCCCAGACUCCUACGGGAGGCAGCAGUAGGGAAUCUUCGGCAAUGGACGGAAGUCUGACCGAGCAACGCCGCGGGAGUGAAGAAGGGUGUCGGAUCGUAAAGCUCUGUUGUAAGAGAAGAACGAGUGUGAGAGUGGAAAGUUCACACUGUGACGGUAGCUUACCAGAAAGGGACGGCUAACUACGUG